GAGGAUAACGGAUGUUACUGCUGAGUGUGCCUCACAGGCUAUGAAGCUGGCAUCAUCUAUCGAUAGUGAUAUCAAUGAAGCAUCUAAACUGGACGGGGCGACAUUGGAAAAGAAAAUUGGGUCCAUCAAGAAUACACUGGAUGCAGCUGCUAUCCCAGCUGCAAGAAAAGCUGAUCUAAAAGGCAAUGUCUCAAAGCUGGAGGAGCAACUUAGGGGGGUU